rnacentral:lncRNA from 1 species
UCCAAUGUCGAGCGUGCGCUCCACCAUCAGCAGCAUCGCCAGCAGCAGUGCUAGCAGUGGGAGCAGCAGCUUCUUCCAAGGUCAGUCCAAGAUGACUGUCUCCAUGGCGGGUGCGCGAGUGAGCAUGAUGGCGACGGCGGACAAGGCAGCAGCACCAGCGCCGGCGGGAUUCACCCCGCCAGAGCUCAAGCCCGACACUCCAUCACCGAUCUUCGGCGGCAGCACGGGCGGGCUGCUGCGCAAGGCACAGGUGGAGGAGUUUUAUGUGAUCACCUGGGAAUCGGGCAAGGAGCAGAUCUUCGAGAUGCCCACGGGCGGCGCCGCCAUCAUGAGAUCCGGGCCCAAUCUCCUCAAGCUCGCGCGCAAGGAGCAGUGCCUGGCGCUGGGCACGCAGCUGCGCUCCAAGUUCAAGAUCAACUAUCAGUUCUACAGGGUGUUUCCAAACGGCGAGGUGCAGUACUUGCAUCCCAAGGACGGAGUGUACCCCGAGAAGGUGAACCCCGGGCGGAAGGGCGUGGGCGUCAAUCUCAGGUCCAUUGGCAAGAACUGCAACCCGGUGGAUCUCAAGUUCACUGGCAAGGCCGCCUACGACGUCUAAGAUCUCAUUUCUAGUUCUCCGUGUAAACCAUGAAACUUUAAAAGCAGUCCAUGGGCCUUGCAUCUCUCACCUUUGAGUAAAUGGAUCUCGAUCGAACUGUGUAAAUCUAUCUUCUCUUCGUUCCAUCUUUUCUUCAUUUUUUAAGUAAUGUUUAUGAUAACAAAGAACGCAAGUUUGAAAAGCUUGUACUGCAUGUGGUGGUGUUCUCAGGUAUGAAAAGUUUGUUCACCUCAGUAUCUACUGCAGCUAGGUAGACGUUUCAGUCUUGCCUUUGUCCAUUUGAACCUACAUAUAAACAUACACUUUAAAUCAUAUUGAAAACUAUGGUGUAUGAUUCUUCAUAUCCUUUCAUCUCUUCUUGUACAAGAUUCUUGUGUAGAAUCACAUAUGUUACAUAUGAAAACUUUUUAAAUCAUGAAUUACCUUUAUGUUGCUAGUAAUGUUUAUAUGCUUAUGUAUACAUAGGAAAUAAAUGGGGAAAAUCAUUCUUACACUGCCGCAAACAUGGACACAAGGAAAACCAUAUGGUAUGUAUAUGUUGUAACUGAGAAUGUAUGUUUACAACAACAAAAAAAAAACAA